rnacentral:rRNA from 1 species
UACAGAGGGUGCGAGCGUUAAUCGGAAUUACUGGGCGUAAAGCGUGCGCAGACGGUCACGUAAGUCGGGUGUGAAAGCCCCGGGCUCAACCUGGGAAUUGCAUUCGAGACUGCGUGGCUAGGGUGCGGAAGAGGGAAGCGGAAUUUCCGGUGUAGCGGUGAAAUGCGUAGAUAUCGGAAGGAACACCAGUGGCGAAAGCGGCUUCCUGGUCCAGCACCGACGUCAGGCACGAAAGUCGUGGGGAGCAAACAGG